CCCGGAGCUGCUUUACGGCGGGGUUGGGCCCUCCCCGCCUCUUCCUGUUGUGAAGCCGGUUCCUAUGGCCGCUGCCCUCCCUGCUCCCCGCUGGCUCCCGGCAGCAGCCGCCCUGCUGUGGGCGUGCUGCGGCUCGGCGGCGACUGACGGGAUCCAGGACCAAGCAGAACAGUUUUUUAGAAGUGGGCACACAAAUAACUGGGCAGUUUUGGUGUGUACAUCUCGCUUCUGGUUUAACUACCGUCAUGUGGCAAAUACGCUUUCAGUUUACAGAAGCGUCAAGAGACUAGGCAUUCCUGAUAGUCACAUUGUCCUGAUGCUGGCAGAUGAUAUGGCAUGUAAUCCCAGGAAUCCCAAACCAGCAACUGUGUUUAGUCACAAAAACAUGGAGCUAAAUGUUUACGGAGAUGAUGUGGAAGUGGACUAUAGAAGCUAUGAGGUUACAGUGGAGAAUUUCUUGCGCGUAUUAACAGGAAGAAUCCCACCAAGCACACCUCGAUCCAAGCGCCUACUUUCUGAUGACAGAAGCAAUAUUCUAAUAUAUAUGACAGGUCAUGGUGGAAAUGGUUUCUUGAAAUUUCAGGAUUCUGAAGAAAUCACUAAUGUAGAACUUGCUGAUGCCUUUGAACAAAUGUGGCAGAAAAGAAGAUACAACGAAUUGCUGUUUAUUAUUGAUACCUGCCAAGGAGCAUCAAUGUAUGAACGAUUUUAUUCUCCAAAUAUAAUGGCCUUGGCUAGUAGCCAAGUAGGAGAAGAUUCACUUUCACAUCAGCCUGAUCUUGGGAUUGGAGUUCACCUUAUGGAUAGAUAUACAUUUUAUGUCUUGGAGUUCUUGGAAGAAAUUCACCCAGCAAGCCAGACCAAUAUGAAUGACCUUUUUCAGGUAUGCCCUAGAAGUUUGUGUGUUUCUACACCUGGACACCGGACUGAUCUUUUUCAGAGAGAUCCUCAGAAUGUUCUAAUAACAGACUUCUUUGGCAGUGUACGAAAGGUGGAAAUUACAACAGAGACUGUUGCUCUGGAUCCUAACUUAGUUGGCUUGGAAACCAGGGUUCCAGAUGAUGAGAUGGCAACAGAACCACUAAAAUAUGCCGAACAGCUUCCAGUAGCUCAGAUAAUACACCAGAGUAUUCACUUUGGAAGGAGAAGACUUGGACUAUUAGAGACAUCCCCAUUUGAUGUGAUUAACGCAUGGAAGAAGAGGUUUUAAAUGCAAAAAUACUGUGAUUACUGCAAUGCCAUGCAAUUUCAUAAUUGUUUUUAUGGUGCUGCUACUAAACCAAAACAGAAAGACUGGCAUCCUCCAGGAGGUUUUAUUCUAGGACUCUGGGCAUUGAUUAUCAUGGUUUUCUUUAAAACGUAUGGAAUCAAGCACAUGAAAUACAUCUUCUAGGUUUUCUGAGCAACCAAGAUGAUUGCACUGACUGCAACAUGGGAUGAAAAUUGGUGUUAUCAAAGGUUCUUUAUUUGUGUAUUAUGUCUGUUUGUAGUGACAAAUAAUGCUGAAACCUCACAUCUAGAUGCUCUUUUGAUGUUGUGUCAUCUAUCCUCCUUUCAGUAAAAAGCCUAACUAAUGGUUAUACUAUUAGAUAAUUUUAUACUUUCUCAUUUAAACACAUUUUAAUGCUGUUUAUGAGCAAUUUUUCAUCCUGUGUUUUCAGAGACAGCAGGAAAACCGAAGAUCUCAGCUGAAUCUUUAAAAUGUUAAGGCUGUUUAUGAAUUGUAAAAAGGAAGAAUUCUUUCCCUUCCACCUCUAAGUAAAUCUUUUUAAAAGUUAUCCCAUCACUGGAACAAAGGUCUAGACAAUAUGCAGAACCUUAUUUAAGUAAGAUGUCAUUUUAUCAAUAAAAACUUAAGUCACUCUAUAGACUUCAGGCAUGACAUAUUGAAAACUUGCUCAACAGAAACAAAAAUAUUGUAGAAAAUAUUGAUUUUUUGUGUGUUAAAUACAAUCCUUUAGAUCAGUACUUUUACCUAGGGCAAUUUUGGGUUUAGGAUUCUAUGAGCCAUUAGAAUUGAAAACAAAAAUAUGGCCAAACAAUGACCUCAUUUAAUCUAGUUGAAGAAAAAGCUGCCAAAAUGUGUAAAAAAAAAAAAAAAAUUUAAUCUUGUCUAUUAGAAAUCAGUAAAUAUCCAAUAAGAACAAACCAAUAGAUAUGUCAAAACAGAAUUUAUAAGACUUAAAACAGUGCAGUUCAGAAACUCUUGAGUACAAUAGUACAAUUUACAAUUAUUUUAAAUCCCUGAUACCAGAAACAAUUUUCCUCUAUGCAAAGAUGAUCCAGUGUAUUUAAUGCAUUGGAAACCCUUUCAUCCAAAUUGCAUAGCCUUAAAAAGACAGUGUUGCAAGGUCUAUGAAUGGUUCUAUGAAUUAAUGGUUCAUGUAUGCUAAGUGGGUUUUGUUCUUAAAUGUUACCAAUAUUAAGUGACAGGAGGACCAAAUCUGUUCAUAUACAGGAACAACAAAUGCCAGAGAAGAGAUUUCUGAAGAUGUUUUUCCUGAAUGCCAAAUGGUUCUGCUCUGUAUGUCAAAUAUAAAGAUUAGAUAUACAGGAAGGGAAUAGUCUAUCUGAUAUAAAUCUCUAAAAAUCAUUAGGAACUGUUUGUAUUUGUAUUAUUAAUGUAUAGAUGCCUGGAUCAUUUUGUUGGAGAGAAUACAACAUUAAAGAUUGCCAUAUUGCAUAGAA